GGAAGGUGCGCGUGGCUACCAUGCAAGUCGAGCGGAAGGCCCUUCGGGGUACUCGAGCGGCGAACGGGUGAGUAACACGUGAGUAACCUGCCCCUGACUCUGGGAUAAGCCUGGGAAACCGGGUCUAAUACUGGAUAUGACCACUCCGGGCAUCUGGUGGUGGUGGAAAGUUUUUCGGUUGGGGAUGGGCUCGCGGCCUAUCAGCUUGUUGGUGGGGUGAUGGCCUACCAAGGCGACGACGGGUAGCCGGCCUGAGAGGGCGACCGGCCACACUGGGACUGAGACACGGCCCAGACUCCUACGGGAGGCAGCAGUGGGGAAUAUUGCGCAAUGGGCGGAAGCCUGACGCAGCGACGCCGCGUGGGGGAUGACGGCCUUCGGGUUGUAAACCUCUUUCGGCAGGGACGAAGUUGACGUGUACCUGUGGAAGAAGCGCCGGCUAACUACGUGCCAGCAGCCGCGGUAAUACGUAGGGCGCAAGCGUUGUCCGGAAUUAUUGGGCGUAAAGAGCUCGUAGGUGGCUUGUCGCGUCUGCCGUGAAAGCCCGUGGCUUAACUACGGGUCUGCGGUGGAUACGGGCAGGCUAGAGGCUGGUAGGGGCAAGUGGAAUUCCUGGUGUAGCGGUGAAAUGCGCAGAUAUCAGGAGGAACACCGGUGGCGAAGGCGGCUUGCUGGGCCAGUUCUGACGCUGAGGAGCGAAAGCGUGGGGAGCGAACAGGAUUAGAUACCCUGGUAGUCCACGCUGUACACGUUGGGCGCUAGGUGUGGGGGUCUUCCAUGGCUCCUGUGCCGUAGCUAACGCAUUACGCGCCCCGCCUGGAGAGUACGGUCGCCAGGCUAAAACUCAAAGGAAUUGACGGGGGCCCGCACAAGCGGCUGAACACGUUGAUCAAUAAGACGCAACGCAAACAACCUUUACCCCGGUUCGACAUAUAUUAGGAGCCCUUCUGAGACCGUUGUUCCUUUCUGGGCGCGUUUUUCAGUUGUCGCCUGGGCUGUCUUCAGUUCU
rnacentral:rRNA from 1 species